rnacentral:rRNA from 2 species
AAUCCAUAGGUUAAUGAGGCGAACCGGGGGAACUGAAACAUCUAAGUACCCCGAGGAAAAGAAAUCAACCGAGAUUCCCCCAGUAGCGGCGAGCGAACGGGGAGGAGCCCAGAGCCUGAAUCAGCAUGUGUGUUAGUGGAAGCGUCUGGAAAGGCGCGCGAUACAGGGUGACAGCCCCGUACACAAAAGCGCAUGUGCUGUGAGCUCGAUGAGUAGGGCGGGACACGUGGUAUCCUGUCUGAAUAUGGGGGGACCAUCCUCCAAGGCUAAAUACUCCUGACUGACCGAUAGUGAACCAGUACCGUGAGGGAAAGGCGAAAAGAACCCCGGCGAGGGGAGUGAAAAAGAACCUGAAACCGUGUACGUACAAGCAGUGGGAGCACCCUUUGGGUGUGACUGCGUACCUUUUGUAUAAUGGGUCAGCGACUUAUAUUCUGUAGCAAGGUUAACCGAAUAGGGGAGCCGGAGGGAAACCGAGUCUUAAUUGGGCGUUAAGUUGCAGGGUAUAGACCCGAAACCCGGUGAUCUAGCCAUGGGCAGGUUGAAGGUUGGGUAACACUAACUGGAGGACCGAACCGACUAAUGUUGAAAAAUUAGCGGAUGACCUGUGGCUGGGGGUGAAAGGCCAAUCAAACCGGGAGAUAGCUGGUUCUCCCCGAAAGCUAUUUAGGUAGCGCCUCGUGAAUUCAUCUCCGGGGGUAGAGCACUGUUUCGGCUAGGGGGCCAUCCCGGCUUACCAACCCGAUGCAAACUGCGAAUACCGGAGAAUGUUAUCACGGGAGACACACGGCGGGUGCUAACGUCCGUCGUGAAGAGGGAAACAACCCAGACCGCCAGCUAAGGUCCCAAAGUCAUGGUUAAGUGGGAAACGAUGUGGGAAGGCCCAGACAGCCAGGAUGUUGGCUUAGAAGCAGCCAUCAUUUAAAGAAAGCGUAAUAGCUCACUGGUCGAGUCGGCCUGCGCGGAAGAUGUAACGGGGCUAAACCAU